rnacentral:rRNA from 1 species
AGCGAACGCUGGCGGCAGGCCUAACACAUGCAAGUCGAACGAAGUCUUCGGACUUAGUGGCGGACGGGUGAGUAACACGUGGGAACGUGCCUUUAGGUUCGGAAUAACUCAGGGAAACUUGUGCUAAUACCGAAUGUGCCCUUCGGGGGAAAGAUUUAUCGCCUUUAGAGCGGCCCGCGUCUGAUUAGCUAGUUGGUGAGGUAAAGGCUCACCAAGGCUACGAUCAGUGGCUGGUCUGAGAGGAUGACCAGCCACAUUGGCACUGAGACACGGCCCAAACUCCUACGGGAGGCAGCAGUGGGGAAUCUUGCGCAAUGGGCGAAAGCCUGACGCAGCCAUGCCGCGUGGAUGAUGAAGGUCUUAGGAUUGUAAAAUCCUUUCACCGGUGAAGAUAAUGACUGUAGCCGGAGAAGAAGCCCCGGCUAACUUCGUGCCAGCCGCCGCCGUAAAAC